GGGAACUUAGCUCAGUUGGUAGAGCAGCGGACUCUUAAUCCGUCGGUCGAGAGUUCGAAUCUCUCAGUUCCCA
rnacentral:tRNA from 1 species